GGUGGUGGCUCAGUGGUAGAGCUCUUGCCUUGCAUGCAUGAGGCCCUGGGUUCAAUUCCUCAGCACCA
rnacentral:tRNA from 1 species